rnacentral:rRNA from 1 species
UACGUAGGGUGCAAGCGUUAUUCGGAAUUACUGGGCGUAAAGCGUGCGCAGGCGGUUUUGUAAGUUUGUCGUGAAAGCCCCGGGCUCAACCUGGGAAUGGCGAUGAAGACUGCAAGGCUUGAAUCUGGCAGAGGGGGGUAGAAUUCCACGUGUAGCAGUGAAAUGCGUAGAGAUGUGGAGGAACACCGAUGGCGAAGGCAGCCCCCUGGGUCAAGAUUGACGCUCAUGCACGAAAGCGUGGGGAGCAAACAGG